rnacentral:rRNA from 1 species
UGCGUAGGGGGCAAGCGUUGUCCGGAAUCAUUGGGCGUAAAGAGCGUGUAGGCGGUUCGGUAAGUCCGCUGUAAAAGUCCAGGGCUCAACCCUGGAAAGCCGGUGGAAACUGUCGAACUAGAGUCCGGAAGAGGCGAGUGGAAUUCCUGGUGUAGCGGUGAAAUGCGCAGAUAUCAGGAGGAACACCAAUGGCGAAGGCAGCUCGCUGGGACGGUACUGACGCUGAGACGCGAAAGCGUGGGGAGCAAACAGG